rnacentral:rRNA from 1 species
UACGUAGGGGGCAAGCGUUGUCCGGAAUCAUUGGGCGUAAAGAGCGUGUAGGCGGCCAGAUAAGUCCGCUGUGAAAACUCGAGGCUCAACUUCGAGCUGUCGGUGGAGACUGUCUGGCUAGAGUCCGGAAGAGGAGAAUGGAAUUCCUGGUGUAGCGGUGAAAUGCGCAGAUAUCAGGAAGAACACCCGUGGCGAAGGCGGUUCUCUGGGACGGUACUGACGCUGAGACGCGAAAGCGUGGGGAGCGAACAGG